AUUGAACGCUGGCGGCAUGCUUUACACAUGCAAGUCGAACGGCAACACGCGUGCUUGCACGUGGUGGCGAGUGGCGAACGGGUGAGUAAUACAUGGGUACCCGUCCUGUGGCGGGGGGUAAACUGGAGAAAGCCGGAUUCAUAACGCGAUCGGUGUACGGAUGACAGGGGGGGGGCUGCAAGGUUUGCGCUGUUGGGUUGGGAGAUGCCUUUUUAGCUAGUUGGGGGGGUAAAGGGCUACCCAGGCGAUGAGACGUAUCUGGUCUGAGAGGACGAGCAGCCACACUGGGACUGAGACAGGGCCCAGACUCCUGCGGGAGGCAGCAGUGGGGAAUUGUGGACAAUGGGCGAAAGCCUGAUCCAGCAAGGCCGCGUGUGUGAAGAAGGCCCUCGGGUUGUAAAGCACUUUUGUCCGGAAAGAAACCCUUGGGCCUAAUACGAACGGGGGAUGACGGUACCGGAAGAAGAAGCACCAGCUAACUACGUG
rnacentral:rRNA from 1 species